CGCCUCUUGACCAAAAAUAAGAGGUCCAGCCUGCCCAAUGAUUAUUUUAAUGGCCGCGGUAUCCUAACCGUGCGAAGGUAGCAUAAUCACUUGUCUACUAAAUAUAGACCUGUAUGAACGGCAUCACGAGGGCCAUACUGUCUCCCCAUUUUAAUCAGUAAAACUGAUCUUCCCGUGAAGAAGCGGGAAUUAAAAUAUAAGACGAGAAGACCCCAUGGAGCUUUAAACUAAGAGUCAACUGCCAAAUUACACACCAUUAAACACCGCACCAAUGACUUAAAGUUUUCGGUUGGGGCGACCGCGGAGUACAACUAAACCUCCACGAUGAACGAACAUAAAAUCUUACCCAAGAGCCACACCACAAAGGACCACUAAUGUGACAACUAUUGACCCAAAUAUUUGAUCAACGAACCUAGUUACCCUGGGGAUAACAGCGCAAUCCAUUUCUAGAGCCCAUAUCGACAAAUGGGUUUACGACCUCGAUGUUGGAUCAGGGUAUCCCGGUGGUGCAGCCGCUACUAAAGGUUCGUUUGUUCAACGAUUAAAACCCUACGUGAUCUGAGUUCA
rnacentral:rRNA from 1 species